rnacentral:snoRNA from 1 species
AUUAUCAUACGGAUGAUACACAAAUCAAGCAUAGUUCACUCUGAAUAAAUCAUGAACGAACUUUAACUAGAAAUUAGUCUUUCGCUCCUAUCUGAAUCUUUUC